rnacentral:rRNA from 1 species
CAGUAGCCACGGGAAUACGUAGGUGGCAAGCGUUGUCCGGAAUUAUUGGGCGUAAAGGGCUCGCAGGCGGUUUCUUAAGUCUGAUGUGAAAGCCCCCGGCUCAACCGGGGAGGGUCAUUGGAAACUGGGAAACUUGAGUGCAGAAGAGGAGAGUGGAAUUCCACGUGUAGCGGUGAAAUACGUAGAGAUGUGGAGGAACACCAGUGGCGAAGGCGACUCUCUGGUCUGUAACUGACGCUGAGGAGCGAAAGCGUGGGGAGCGAACAGGAUUAGAUACCCGAGUAGUCCCUGUCUCUUAUAC